GAUGAACGCUGGCGGCGUGCCUAAUACAUGCAAGUCGAGCGAACAGACGAGGAGCUUGCUCCUCUGACGUUAGCGGCGGACGGGUGAGUGACACGUGGAUAACCUACCUAUAAGACUGGGAUAACUUCGGGAAACCGGAGCUAAUACCGGAGAAUAUAUUGAACCGCAUGGUUCAAUAGUGAAAGACGGUUUUGCUGUCACUUAUAGAUGGAUCCGCGCCGCAUUAGCUAGUUGGUAAGGUAACGGCUUACCAAGGCGACGAUGCGUAGCCGACCUGAGAGGGUGAUCGGCCACACUGGAACUGAGACACGGUCCAGACGCCUGCGGGAGGCAGCAGUAGGGAAUCGUCCGCAACGGGCGAAAGCCUGACGGAGCAACGCCGCGUGAGUGAUGAAGGUCUUCGGAUCGUAAAACUCUGUUAUUAGGGAAGAACAAAUGUGUAAGUAACUAUGCACGUCUUGACGGUACCUAAUCAGAAAGCCACGGCUAACUACGUG
rnacentral:rRNA from 1 species